GUGCUCACUUUGGCAGCACAUAUACCAAAACUAGAAUGACACAGAGAAGAUUAGCAUGGCCUUGUGCAAGGUUGACAUGCAAAUUCAUGAAGUGUUCCAUAUUUUU